UACGUAGGAGGCAAGCGUUGUCCGGAAUUACUGGGCGUAAAGCGCGUGUAGGUGGUGGGACAAGUCUGCUGUGAAAGCGCCUGGCUUAACCGGGCGAGGUCGGCGGAAACUGUUCGACUCGAGGACGGUAGAGGGGGGUGGAAUUCCCGGUGUAGUGGUGAAAUGCGUAGAGAUCGGGAGGAACACCUGUGGCGAAGGCGGCCCCCUGGGCCGGCCCUGACACUGAGACGCGAAGGCGUGGGGAGCGAACGGGG
rnacentral:rRNA from 1 species